rnacentral:tRNA from 1 species
GGCUCUGUAGUGAAGUUCAUAGUGAGUUGCAAGCUCAUUGAUGUGCAUUAAGUAUGUACCGGAGCCU